rnacentral:rRNA from 1 species
UAGGGAAUCUUCCGCAAUGGACGAAAGUCUGACGGAGCAACGCCGCGUGAGCGAAGAAGGCCUUCGGGUCGUAAAGCUCUGUUGUUAGGGAAGAAUAAGUACGAGAGUAACUGCUCGUACCUUGACGGUACCUAACCAGAAAGCCACGGCUAACUACGUGCCAGCAGCCGCGGUAAUACGUAGGUGGCAAGCGUUGUCCGGAAUUAUUGGGCGUAAAGCGCGCGCAGGCGGUCCUUUAAGUCUGAUGUGAAAGCCCACGGCUCAACCGUGGAGGGUCAUUGGAAACUGGGGGACUUGAGUGCAGAAGAGGAGAGUGGAAUUCCACGUGUAGCGGUGAAAUGCGUAGAGAUGUGGAGGAACACCAGUGGGGAAGGCGACUCUCUGGUCUGUAACUGACGCUGAGGCGCGAAAGCGUGGGGAGCAAACAGGAUUAGAUACCCUGGUAGUCCACGCCGUAAACGAUGAGUGCUAAGUGUUAGAGGGUUUCCGCCCUUUAGUGCUGCA